GACGAACGCUGGCGGCGUGCUUAACACAUGCAAGUCGAACGGAAAGGCCCUGCUUUUGUGGGGGGCUCGAGUGGCGAACGGGUGAGUAACACGUGAGUAACCUGCCCUUGACUUUGGGAUAACUUCAGGAAACUGGGGCUAAUACCGGAUAGGAGCUCCUGCUGCAUGGUGGGGGUUGGAAAGUUUCGGCGGUUGGGGAUGGACUCGCGGCUUAUCAGCUUGUUGGUGGGGUAGUGGCUUACCAAGGCUUUGACGGGUAGCCGGCCUGAGAGGGUGACCGGCCACAUUGGGACGGAGAUACGGCCCAGACUCCUACGGGAGGCAGCAGUGGGGAAUAUUGCACAAUGGGCGGAAGCCUGAUGCAGCAACGCCGCGUGCGGGAUGACGGCCUUCGGGCUGUAAACCGCUUUCGCCUGUGACGAAGCGUGAGUGACGGUAAUGGGUAAAGAAGCACCGGCUAACUACGUG
rnacentral:rRNA from 1 species